UGCAUCUCCUCUUUUCAACGCAAAUGUCUUGAGUCAUAGUUUAAAGCUCAGAUCUCAGAUCAUUGCUCUGUUGGUGUAUUUCUGUGUAUUUGAAGACGACUUUGGCAACCUGAAUGUUACUUUGUUCUGUUUCAGGGCUGUCACCUGGACCAGUACUACUAUGCUGUUCUCUGCAGUAAGCAUUACCCACCAGAGGGAGCCGAAGCCAAGAACUGUCAGAUUUUGAUCUGCCUUCCAGUUCUCAAGAGCGUUCCCUACUGCAGAACCUUGGAGACUGGAGAAGGAGGUAAAACAGGAAAUGGAAAGACUGCAACUUGCUAG
rnacentral:lncRNA from 1 species